UGUUUGGUAUUAGUGAUGUUUGUAGACAUAUAAUUUUGUCUCUCCCAUAGCUCAAUUUUAUUCAUUUUUUCUAGCUCACCUUAUUACGUACCUUCACCCGUAUAAUUAUCUUCUAUAAAAAGACAAAAUAACAAACUCCCUAACAAAUUAACAACCCUAUCCUAACCAACUGACCCACCUCACUACCCUACCCCUUCUACCCACAUACCCCAAGCCCCCUCACGUUUUCUCUCUGAACAGAACACAGGAGAACAAUAUUACAUACACACAUAGAAAAAGAAUACAAAAAAGAGGGAAGGGACCCACAGGGAAUCCAUCAUCACAGAUACACCCACACAGUAUUCACACAUACGCAAUUCCUCCCCCCCCCCAAAAAAAACUCACGCACAGUAAAACCAUCGGAGAAGGCUACUUUUGUUGAUCGAUUCUCAGCAAAUCACAGCAACACACACCCAUGGAGACACCCGCACACACACGCUAGUGAGAAGGAAGAGAAGUGGAGAGAGUAGGAGCAAAACAAAGAGAAAUCGAGAGUGAAAAAGUUUGUGCGGAGUCACUGUUCCGGUGGUAAGCACGUCACGGGUGACGGCCGAAUCCUUCUCUCUGCUGGCAGCUAUCGCCCGUCCCAUCUCUGACAAAAACUCCUCCCAUCGACAACCAUCACCUCCCACGCCCAUUUUUGGUCAACCCAUAAAAACCCACCCUGAAACAACCAUCCUGAAUUAAUUUCGAUGGAGACAACCGGAAAUACAUCAAUGGGCGAGCUCAACCCGCGGCUCCCACCACCUAUAAUCGAGAAAAAUGGUGGAAACAGGAUGUUUUUGAAGUUUGGGGUUAAUAACAUUCGAGUUUGUUUGAAAUCUGGUUUUGCCUAUGGAGAAGAAGCGUCGACUAAGUGGGUUUUCGUUUGAGGUUUUGGAUUCACAAAGCUCCAUUUUGAUCGCAUAAUUCACACUUGAAAUAAGAUUGAGCUGACGAAUGCCCUGUGGUCAUUUGUGUUUAUUCACUAAAAAAUGCCCCGAAGUAUCGUGUACGCAAAAGAUGCUCGUGAUCAAGGCCCAAGGCGUCAGGUAAAGCAUUGGAGAGCAGUUUAGGAUUAGUGUAGAUUAGCAUAGGUUUACAUUUCCGCAUUUUUUUAUUUUGGGAUUGUAUAAAUUGGACUGGAUAUUAUAUUUUGGGAUUUGUUUUAUUUGUGUUUGUUUGUUUGA